rnacentral:rRNA from 1 species
GACGAACGCUGGCGGCGUGCUUAACACAUGCAAGUCGAGCGGUAAGGCCCCUUCGGGGGUACACGAGCGGCGAACGGGUGAGUAACACGUGAGCAAUCUGCCCAUCACAUCGGGAUAACUCCGGGAAACCGAAGCUAAUACCGAAUACGACCACCUCCGGCAUCGGAUGGUGGUGGAAAGUUCCGGCGGUGAUGGAUGAGCUCGCGGCCUAUCAGCUUGUUGGUGGGGUAACGGCCCACCAAGGCUUCGACGGGUAGCCGGCCUGAGAGGGUGACCGGCCACACUGGGACUGAGACACGGCCCAGACUCCUACGGGAGGCAGCAGUGGGGAAUAUUGGACAAUGGGCGAAAGCCUGAUCCAGCAACGCCGCGUGAGGGAUGACGGCCUUCGGGUUGUAAACCUCUUUCAGCAGGGAUGAAGCGCAAGUGACGGUACCUGCAGAAGAAGCACCGGCCAACUACGUG